rnacentral:rRNA from 1 species
GACGAACGCUGGCGGCGUGCUUAACACAUGCAAGUCGAACGGAAAGGCCCUGCUUUUGUGGGGUGCUCGAGUGGCGAACGGGUGAGUAACACGUGAGUAACCUGUCCUUGACUUUGGGAGAACUUCAGGAAACUGGGGCUAAUACCGGAUAGGAGCUCCUGCUGCAUGGUGGGGGUUGGAAAGUUUCGGCGGUUGGGGAUGGACUCGCGGCUUAUCAGCUUGUUGGUGGGGUAGUGGCUUACCAAGGCUUUGACGGGUAGCCGGCCUGAGAGGGUGACCGGCCACAUUGGGACUGAGAUACGGCCCAGACUCCUACGGGAGGCAGCAGUGGGGAAUAUUGCACAAUGGGAGGAAGCCAGAUGUAGCAACGCCGCGUGCGGGAUGACGGCCUUCGGGUUGUAAACCGCUUUCGCCUGUGACGAAGCGUGAGUGACGGUAAUGGGUAAAGAAGCACCGGCUAACUACGUG